rnacentral:rRNA from 1 species
GCAGGCUGCAACUCGCCUGCAUGAAGCUGGAAUUGCUAGUAAUCGCGGAUCAGCAAGCCGCGGUGAAUACGUUCCCGGGCCUUGUACACACCGCCCGUCACACCAUGAGAGUCGGGAACACCCGAAGUCCGUAGUCUAACCGCAAGGGGGGCGCGGCCGAAGGUGGGUUCGAUAAUUGGGGUGAAGUCGUAACAAGGUAAC